AUGCCGCCUCGCCGCCGGGGAGCUUCGGGCUACCGCGGCGUCCGCGUGCGUCCGUCCGGCACAAACUCCGCCGAGAUUCGGCCGGGCGGCGUGCGCCUCGGCCUCGGAACCUUCGACACCGCCCAGGAUGGCGCCCGCGCAUACGACGCUGCGGCGUGGCGCCUCCGGCGGUCCCGUUGGGACAUGAACUUCACGGACGUGGCGAAGCGGGAGCGGGCACAGGAGUUGGCGCCUCCCCUGCGGCUUAUCACCGACGAGGAUCAUCGCAAGAACCGGAGACGGGAGCGCCGUCUCAGCCUGGCCGAGAUGGACAAGGAAGCCAUGGAUCUGUGGCGCCAACGCUUCCCGCAAGACAUCAUCAACGAUGAACAGUUCAUAGCCGAGAGGAGGACGGAGAGGAAGGAGAGGAGGGAGGAGCGAGCCGCCUAUCGCGAGGACAAGCGAACGCGGAAGGAGAUGCGUCGUCCUGGGACUCCAGCGACGAGCGGUUUCUUGACGCCUACGCUCAGACGUCGGAGGAGGACAUCACCGAGGCAGAGUCCGAGUCGAAGAAUGAUGAGUAGUAGUAGUUUUUCGUUUUUUUAUCUAUCAUAG
rnacentral:rRNA from 1 species